GAUGAACGCUAGCUACAGGCUUAACACAUGCAAGCCGAGGGGCAGCUAUUUUAGUUUGCUUGCAAACUAAAGAUGGCGACCGGCGCACGGGUGAGUAACACGUAUCCAACCUGCCGAUAACUCGGGGAUAGCCUUUCGAAAGAAAGAUUAAUAUCCGAUAGUAUAUUAAAACCGCAUGGUUUUACUAUUAAAGAAUUUCGGUUAUCGAUGGGGAUGCGUUCCAUUAGUUUGUUGGCGGGUAACGGCCCACCAAGACUACGAUGGAUAGGGGUUCUGAGAGGAAGGUCCCCCACAUUGGAACUGAGACACGGUCCAAACUCCUACGGGAGGCAGCAGUGAGGAAUAUUGGUCAAUGGACGAGAGUCUGAACCAGCCAAGUAGCGUGAAGGAUGACUGCCCUAUGGGUUGUAAACUUCUUUUAUAUGGGAAUAAAGUAUUCCACGUGUGGAAUUCUGUAUGUACCAUAUGAAUAAGGAUCGGCUAACUCCGUG
rnacentral:rRNA from 1 species